AGCGAACGCUGGCGGCAGGCCUAACACAUGCAAGUCGAGCGGCCGUAGCAAUACGGCAGCGGCAGACGGGAGAGUAACACGUGGGAACGUGCCCUUUGGUUCGGAAUAACGCAGGGAAACUUGCGCUAAUACCGGAUAAGCCCUUACGGGGAAAGAUUUAUCGCCAUUGGAGCGGCCCGCGUCUGAUUAGCUAGUUGGUGAGGUAACGGCUCACCAAGGCGACGACGCGUAGCCGGACUGAGAGGUUGGCCGGCCACAUUGGGACUGAGACACUGCCCAGACUCCUACGGGGGCGU
rnacentral:rRNA from 1 species